rnacentral:rRNA from 1 species
UAGUUAGUUGGGGGGUAAAGGCCUACCAAGACAAUGAUGCAUAGCCGAGUUGAGAGACUGAUCGGCCACAUUGGGACUGAGACACGGCCCAAAUUCCUACGGGAGGCUGCAGUAGGGAAUCUUCCACAAUGGGCGAAAGCCUGAUGGAGCAACGCCGCGUGUGUGAUGAAGGCUUUCGGGUCGUAAAGCACUGUUGUAUGGGAAGAAAAGUUAAGGUAGGGAAUGACCUUAGCCUGACGGUACCAUACCAGAAAGGGACGGCUAAAUACGUGCCAGCAGCCGCGGUAAUACGUAUGUCCCGAGCGUUAUCCGGAUUUAUUGGGCGUAAAGCGAGCGCAGACGGUUGGUUAAGUCUGAUGUGAAAGCCCGGAGCUCAACUCCGGAAAGGCAUUGGAAACUGGUUAACUUGAGUGCAGUAGAGGUAAGUGGAACUCCAUGUGUAGCGGUGGAAUGCGUAGAUAUAUGGAAGAACACCAGCGGCGAAGGCGGCUUACUGGACUGUAACUGACGUUGAGGCUCGAAAGUGUGGGUAGCAAACAGGAUUAGAUACCCUGGUAGUCCACACCGUAAACGAUGAACACUAGGUGUUAGGAGGUUUCCGCCUCUUAGUGCCGAAGCUAACGCAUUAAGUGUUCCGCCUGGGGAGUACGACCGCAAGGUUGAAACUCAAAGGAAUUGACGGGGACCCGCACAAGCGGUGGAGCAUGUGGUUUAAUUCGAAGCAACGCGAAGAACCUUACCAGGUCUUGACAUCCUUUGAAGCUUUUAGAAAUAGAAGUGUUCUCUUCGGAGACAAAGUGACAGGUGGUGCAUGGUCGUCGUCAGCUCGUGUCGUGAGAUGUUGGGUUAAGUCCCGCAACGAGCGCAACCCUUAUUGUUAGUUGCCAGCAUUCAGAUGGGCACUCUAGCGAGACUGCCGGUGACAAACCGGAGGAAGGCGGGGACGACGUCAGAUCAUCAUGCCCCUUAUGACCUGGGCUACACACGUGCUACAAUGGCGUAUACAACGAGUUGCCAACCUGCGAAGGUGAGCUAAUCUCUUAAAGUACGUCUCAGUUCGGACUGCAGUCUGCAACUCGACUGCACGAAGUCGGAAUCGCUAGUAAUCGCGGAUCAGCACGCCGCGGUGAAUACGUUCCCGGGUCUUGUACACACCGCCCGUCACACCAUGGAAGUUUGUAAUGCCCAAAGCCGGUGGCCUAACCGUAAGGAGGGAACCGUCUAAGGCAGA